AUUCUUGAUGACAGUGGUCGGGAAAACUCGCCUUUCACGGCCCGGCCAAGGGGCAUUUGGGUGCUUUUGCUGCCCGUGGCUGUGCUCAGCGUUGUGGGAAGCCCCUGGGAGGCCGAAUGUGCAGGAUCACCGAGGGGAAAGUGAGCUUGACAGUUCUACAGUCUGGGGACGACGGUUUAAAAAUUUAUGCCUUGUAUGCGAUGUGCAGUGGGUGAUGGAAGAACGUCUACAUGGCUUUAA
rnacentral:lncRNA from 1 species